rnacentral:rRNA from 1 species
AUUGAACGCUGGCGGAAUGCUUUACACAUGCAAGUCGAACGGCAGCACGGACUUCGGUCUGGUGGCGAGUGGCGAACGGGUGAGUAAUGUAUCGGAACGUGCCCAGUCGUGGGGGAUAACGUAGUGAAAAUUACGCUAAUACCGCAUACGGUCUAUGGAUGAAAGCGGGGGAUCGCAAGACCUCGCGCGAUUGGAGCGGCCGAUAUCAGAUUAGGUAGUUGGUGGGGUAAAAGCCCACCAAGCCAACGAUCUGUAGCUGGUCUGAGAGGACGACCAGCCACACUGGAACUGAGACACGGUCCAGACUCCUACGGGAGGCAGCAGUGGGGAAUUUUGGACAAUGGGCGAAAGCCUGAUCCAGCCAUUCCGCGUGCAGGAUGAAGGCCCUCGGGUUGUAAACUGCUUUUGUACAGAACGAAAAGGUUUCUACUAAUACUAGGAGCUCAUGACGGUACUGUAAGAAUAAGCACCGGCUAACUACGUGCCAGCCGCCGCGGUAA